rnacentral:rRNA from 1 species
AUUGAACGCUGGCGGCAGGCCUAACACAUGCAAGUCGAACGGUAACAGGAAACAGCUUGCUGUUUCGCUGACGAGUGGCGGACGGGUGAGUAAUGUCUGGGAAACUGCCUGAUGGAGGGGGAUAACUACUGGAAACGGUAGCUAAUACCGCAUAACGUCGCAAGACCAAAGAGGGGGACCUUCGGGCCUCUUGCCAUCAGAUGUGCCCAGAUGGGAUUAGCUAGUAGGUGGGGUAACGGCUCACCUAGGCGACGAUCCCUAGCUGGUCUGAGAGGACGACCAGCCACACUGGAACUGAGACACGGUCCAGACUCCUACGGGAGGCAGCAGUGGGGAAUAUUGCACAAUGGGCGCAAGCCUGAUGCAGCCAUGCCGCGUGUAUGAAGAAGGCCUUCGGGUUGUAAAGUACUUUCAGCGGGGAGGAAGGGAGUAAAGUUAAUACCUUUGCUCAUUGACGUUACCCGCAGAAGAAGCACCGGCUAACUCCGUG